GUUAUCUAGCUGUUAGAAUGAUUCCCUGUGGUUGACCCAAGUUACCUCACUCCAUUACUAGCAGGUAUUAUUAGUAGGGCAUGUUAGAAUACAGUGAUCCCUCAACGCACAAUGGCCUCAACAUACAAUGCUUUCAACAUAUAAUGAUCUUUUCUGGAGUUGAAACCAGACUCAACAUACAAUACUACAGACAGUCCAGAUCUGCAAAACAUAUCAAUAGCUGGAAGAUCUGACCAAUCAGAAUGGGCAUUUUACUGGUAAAACCCCUGUAUCACUGAAGCGUAUGCACUGACUGGCUGUCUGGUAGCGCCCCCUACAGUACAGGGAGGUACUACAUGUUCUGUACUCUUUACCUGUACCAGGGUUAGCUGCUCCUUUGGACACCAGAACCAAUAACCAGGUUUCCAUAGAGUUAUGGUCUCAACAUACAAUGGUUUCAACAUAUAAUGGUCGUCCGGGAACCAAUUAAUAUUGUAACGUGAGGGACCACUGUACUGCUAUCACUCUGUUCUUCCGAUACCAAUAAGUUGAAGCUACUGCUCGAUGCCCUUCACAUAGUAGGUAUUAAUCCCAGAUUGCUAAAUCUGAAAUGUUAAGUAAAGUACCACGAAACGCAGACGGAUACACGGAAUUCCUGAAACAUGUGAGAAUGUCCUGCUGAGCAAUGGAGGAACCGUACAUGGGGAUCGGGAGCCUUGGAACCGCAGAUGUUCUCUACAUUGCAGCUACAGAUGAAGAAUUACCUGCUGACUAUAGUCAUAUCUGUAUAUGUACCAUCACAUCCCAUUAAUCCAGCAUCUGAUAAUCCAGAACAUCCGGUAACCUGCCACUUGUUACCAGAAAUGGGAGCUAUGUGGAAUUGCAAAAGAUCAAAAACAGAAGACUAAUGAAAAAAACAAGGAAAAAAAUCCAAAUAAAUC